rnacentral:lncRNA from 1 species
GUCGAGCCACAGACAGGGAGACUAUAGCCUUGGCGUUGGAAAUAGAGAGAGAGAGACAGGGAAGGGAGAGAAGGGUGGAGCCGCUGCUGGCUAACUUGGAUAUCGGCUCGUAGAGUCCCCAGGACACGCAGAGUUCUCGGCGCGGGUGGCCGAGGUGUGGCCGGCUUCGUGCCGGAGCUUGUAGUUUGUCGUGGCGGGAUCGAGGGCUCCGCCGAUCCCUGCAGCUCAGGCGGUGCCGGUGGGAACAAGUGAUCCGUCCAUCAGAUCGCAGGCGGGGGGAGAAUGAUUGUCGCUGAAUCCUGGGGUCACCGCCGUUCGUCUCAUGCUUUUCACUGGAUCGGUCGACCCUCUCCUUAUGCACCGGUAAGAAACCUUUCCCCUUUCGAAUUCGUCCAUAAAACGUGUAGUUGCUGUUGAUGUUGGGUUCUGGAUCGCUGUGUCAUGGGCGCCUAUGAGCUCAUCGCGGUGGGACCGCUUCGCGUCGGGCGGCCAUGGCUAGCUAGUAGGGAGAGAAGGAACGCUGGGAGGCCGUGAGGUAGAAGACAUCGCGCGACCGUCGGAUUUGAACUGAGGGCUGAGAUUAGAUCUGGGAGGGUUGGUUGUCGGCCGUUGAUGCGAGGAUGGACGAACCGGAUCAGGACUCCCAAACCGCUUCACGUUAUUUAAUCGGAGUCGUUGAUCUUCGAAUCCACGAUCGAAAUCGAGUCUUCGCUAUUUUAAAUCUCUGCCAUUGAUUCCGGAUCCAAGGGGCCGGAUGGCGUACAGGUUCGUGGCCGACUAGUUUUAAUCUGGACGCCCCGUUAGGAUCAGGCGGCCGAGAUCAAACCGCACCUAUUCGCUCUGGCACAAUUGCAUAAGAGUCCCUCGGGAAGUAGGAAAUAGAACCCACCAUCCACCUUCACUGUGCGCCGUGUCUUGGGGGUUUUGUCCCGAACCCCCUGGGUUUCUCUAGAUUUGAGGCCUGGUCCAGUGUAAUAUUAAACCAGAGAAAUUAAUCUAUAAAUGGGUUUUUAAUAAAUAAAUAAAUGUUAGAACUUGAUUAAAUCAUAGAAAAUCCAUUUUUAGUCCAAAUUAACCCAUUCAACUUUCUAUAUUUUUGUAAUAUUAUUCUCUAUCACUUAGAGACUCUGUUUUGUCAUGAAAAUAGUAAGAAAAAUAAUUCCCCAUUAAUCCUAUUUUAAGCACAUAAAACCUUUGGAAAUUCAUAUCUUAAAAUCUAUAACUCCAAAAAUUAUGAUUCCUGUUCCUAGGAUUUUAUUUUAACGAGUAGAUUAUUAUUAUGUAUUUUUUACAUGUUUGGUGUGAUGUUAAUUUUCUCUAUAUAUUGUGCUUGUUUGUAUUGUGGCGAGUAGAAGAGCCUAUGACCGAGGAUCCUGGUGACCAGCUGAUAGAAGUAGCUGAGCAGGAGCUCAUUGAAGGCAAGUUGUGCCCUUGAUCACUUCUUUUACCCAUUCAUGUUCUUAUUAAUCAUAAUGAUUUGCAUAGGUUAAUUUUGAUGGGACCCAAUAGGUUACCCUAGAUUUUGACUAUCUUUAUACCUUGUUUCACCACUAGUUUUACUACUAAAUUUUUGGAUAGUACAUGCUAUUGCUUUAUGUGGCUUUGGGUAUAAAGAUAUUCAUCACUCAUUGUUAUACUUUUUAUUAUCUGUUUAUUAUUAUUAUUCAUGAUAAGAUCAUUAUGUUAAUGGGAACAUGGAGAACCACCCAGGAAAACAGUGCUACCACAAGAGUUUAAUGGGACGCCCUUGGCUGAUUAACUAGGAAAGCUAGUGGAUGACUACCUUACCUGAAAGGGGCAAGGGCAGUAGGGGAGUGGUCAGUGUAGGGAGGUCCUUGGGUUGAUUUUGCUGCGAUGGCGGUCAGGCGAGGGAUUCCUGCACUGGAGCUUCCUAUAAACUGUAGCGGGUUUUCUGAAGCUAGUGGAACUUUGUAAAGGCCUCGUAGUGGUACCCUGCCUCGCUUCCUAGGUAGAGGUGUAUGGAGUCUGAUCAACUCCGUGGCAAAUGGGUAACACGACUUGUGGGUAAAGAUGCGCAACCUCUGCAGAGUGUACAACUGGUAUACUAGCCGUGCUCACGGUCAUGAGCGGCUCGGACACUCACAUGAUUAACUUAUGGAACUUAAACUUAAUCUAUCAUUUCAUUGCAUCUGGGAUUAUUUCAUUAUUACUUUUAUUUAUUAUUUCUAAGGUUUGGUAUUUACUUAUACUUAGUAAUUGCUAAUAAAAUUUUGACCAACUUAUAAAAGCAAUGCUCAGCUUCAGCCUUUAUUUCAUUGAUCAGCCUUACACUUCAUGAACUCCCACCUUUGGUGAGUUCAUGCCACAUUAUUCCCCACAACUUGUUGAGCGAUGAACAUGUAGGGGUGGGCACAUUUUUACCAGAAACCGAAAACCGAACCGAACCGAACCGAACCGAAAUUUCGGUUUUUCGGUAGUUCGGUUCGGUUUUGGUUUUUGUAUCUCAAAAGUUCGGUUUUUGGUAUCGUAAUCGGUUUUACCGUAUACCAAACCGAAAUACCAAAAAACCGAAUUACCUAACUUUAUCAAUUCUAAAAUUUGGCUAUUCGAUUAUGUGAACUAAAUGUGUGAAACAAUUAAAUUGUUAUUACUUAUUUAUAUGUGAUGUAUGAUGUAUCUCUAAAUAUUUGUACAUAUAUAAUUUUGACUUUUUAAAAUUAUGUGUAAUCUAUCAUAUAAACUUUUUGUAUGUGUUGUCUUGAGUACAAGUUUGGUAUUCGGUUUUUACCGAAAAACCGAUGUAAAAAACCGAAACCGAACUUCUCGGUUUUCCAUUUUCAAGAAAACCGAUCGGUUUCUAAUGUUUAGAAAACCGAAGUUUUUUAAAACCGAAAAACCAAACCGAAGUUUCAAAAAAACCGAAUGCCCAGCCCUAUGAACAUGUGUGAGCUCACCCUUGCUGUCUCACACCCCCACAAGAGAAGAACAGGUGAUCGAAGAGGAGCCGCCUAACACUGAGGCUUUCGACUUGAUCUAGGUGGCGUCUCCCAGUCAGCUUUUUAGCGCCAAGGAUAGAUUUUAGAUCCUGUGAUAUUUAUCUCUUAUUUUGUAAGACUUCCGCUAUGUAAUAAGUACUCUGAUUAUAUUGUGACAUUUAUCUCUAUACACUCUGUUAUUAUAUAUGUUGUCUUCUCUGGCGCAUGUAUGAGAUGCACCCGGCUUUGUCCCUUAAAGCCCAGGUGUGACAGAAGUGGUAUCAGAGGAAAUAUUGACUGUAGGACGAAACCUAGAUAGAAAUGGACAAACCCUUACCUACUUAUCUUACUCUGAUUCAUUCUAUACUUAUCUCACUCUGAUUCUUUCUAUACUUAUCUUGAUCCUGUCUCACCUUCUACUGUUCCACUCUGAUCAUUCUUAUCUUUUCUACUCUGAUACAAGAUGGAUUUCACACCUUGGAAUCCUACAUUUAUGACCUUCUUAAGAGAUAGGGAACCUAAGACAAAAAAAUAAAACUAUUUUCUCUAUUAAAAAAAUGUUGGUUGAUUGUUCCGAUGAUAAUUGCUUGAUUUGCUUCUUUGAUUGAUUGAAACAUUAUAGUCGGGCAUCUUAGCAUGUACCACUCUAAGGUAAUGUAUUAGCUUCUGUGGGUGACACACUAAUCUACUUAGCUAAUAAAUCCCCCGUAGUAACAUUCCUCGUAAUUACUCGCCUUGUCUACAAUUCUUCCUCUCUUACCCUAUGUUUCUAACCCAGAUAGGCUACCCCUAUACUGUUAGAAGAGAGCAGUAUAGACUUGAUCCUUGGUAUGUCAUGGUUAAGAAAGGCAAAGGUAGUAUUUACACUGUGCUAAGGGAACCGUAGAACUCACUAGUUCCAAAGGACAAAGAUUUGAAGUUGAAGUUGCAGUAACUACCAUCAUCAGACUAGCAUCAUUCCUAGAAGAUGAGAAGUCUGUGGGUGACAACAUCCGUGCAGUUAGAGAUUUUCCGGAUGUCUUUCCAGAUGAGUUAUUAGGGAUGCCACCAGAUAGGGAAGUCGAGUUUGUCAUUGAUCUCUUACCUGAGACUGCCCCUAUUUCUAAACGGCCAUACAUGACGUCCGUAGAAGAACUAAAGGAACUUAAGAAGCAAUUAAUGGAAUUACAAGAGGCUGGGUACAUUUGUCCGAAUUCUUCACCUUGUGGAGCGCCGAUUCUAAAUGUACAGAAGAAAUAAGGAUCGCAAGGGAUGUACGUAGAUUAUAUGUCCCUUAACGAUGUCACUGUGAAGAACAAGUGUCUAUUACCCCACAUUGAGGAUUUAAUCAGAUGAGAGGUGCUAGGGUAUUCUCGGAGAUUGAUCUCUGAUCGGGUUACCAUCAAAUUAAGAUUAGGCCAUCGGAUAUUCCCAAGACGGAUUUCUCGACCCGAUAUGGUUUAUAUGAGUUCAAGGUUAUGUCAUUUGGACUAACUAAUGUAGUAGCCUAUUUUAUGGACCUAAAGAAUAAGGUGUUCGUGAUCUGGAUAGAUUCGUUGUGGUUUUCAUCAAAGAUAUUUUUAUUUAUUCCAAGAGUGAUAGUGAUCAUGAGGAACAUCUAAGAUUGGUGCUACAGAAGCUACGAGAUAAUCAACUCUAUGCCAAGUACAGUAAAUGUGAGUUCUGGAUUGAUGAAGUGUCAUUCCUUGGACAUAUCAUUCCUAAUGGAGGGAUAUCAGUGGAUCCUGCUAAAGUCAAGGAGAUAGUGGCGUGGAGCAUACCCACUACAGUUACGGAGAUCCAGAGUUUCUUGGGACUUGUAGGAUAUUAUCGGAGAUUUAUUGAAGGAUUUUCUAAGAUCGAUAAGCCUAUGACCUCGCUUCUGGAGAAAGGAAGAGAAUUUAAGUAGGAUGAGAAGUGCCAAGAAAGCUUUGAUCAAUUAAAGGAGAGAUUGAUGUCACCACCAGUGUUGGUUAUGCUAGAUCUAUUGAAGUGAUUUGACAUUUAUUGUGAUGCAUGUGGCCAAGGAUUGGGAUGUGUGCUCAUGCAAGAAGGACAUGUGAUCGCCUAUGUGUCUCGUCAGUUGCCGAAACAUGAAUUGAACUACCCCACUCAUGACUUAGAACUGGCAGCGGUUGUGCACACACUUAAGAUAUGGAGACAUUACAUUAUGGGAACUAAGUGCCAAGUGUACACGGAUCAUAAGAGUAUGAAGUAUAUAUUCACUCAGAAGGAUCUCAACCUUAGGCAACACCGUUGGUUGGUGCUUAUUAAGGAUUAUGAUUUGGAGAUUCACUAUCACCCGGGCAACGCGAAUUUGGUUGCAGAUGCCUUGAGUCGAAAGGAGUAUGUUCAUUCAGCUGUUGUUGCCCAGCUUGUGGGGGACAGAUAUCCCCCGGGUCCACUAAAAGAGUAAAAGACCUCACGAAAGGCCCAAGGGCCCAAUAAGUCGUAAGGUCAUUCUUUCGUGGGCCUGGGGAGGGACAAUUAGCAAAGCAGAUCGACAUGAGGCCGGAUUGAUGCCAGCCCGGACGGCCCACAACGUCGAGCGAGCGACCACAACAGAGAUCCGACUUUCCCGCGCUGAAGCCCCCAUGCAACGGAGCCAUGCGAGGAUAGGUCGGCAGAACUACAGGGAGAUAAACUCAAACAGUUCACUAUCUUUUAGCUACACAUUGUUAUCAUAUCCACGUGUAUUGCCCCACGGUCGAGUAUAUAAGGCCUAGGGGGCACCCCUCCAGAACGAUCGACCCUAUUACUUAGCCACCCACUUCAACUCUCUGCAUUCUCAAUUCGGAGAGCUCUCUUGUAACCUCACUCACCAAGCAUACUCACCAGGACGUAGGGUGUUACGCAUCUCUAAGCGGCCCGAACCUAUAAACAUUGUCCACUGUCCCUCGUGCAACUGGCACGAACCAUUUUGCUACAGUCGUCGACACCGUCCAACUCCUAAAAACACCUUGAGGGGCAACCCUGGGUGUGCGGUCGGACCCAAAACACCGACAGCUGGCGCGCCAGGUAGGGGGUGUGUCGACGAUCCAAGCUAGCUCAAUGGCCGUCACCUUCCACAGCAAGAUCACCCUCUGUCCCGGAUCCGUAUUCUGCUUCGGAACAAUCUCAUCCGUAGCAGAUGAAGAGGGAACUCUACAUCGCAUUGUGGAUCCACCGGAAAAGAAGUCUUCUCCAACAAGCUCCGAAAAUGUCGGAGAAGCGCAACCUCCAGUUCUCCGGAAAAAUAUCGUCUCCGGAAAGUCAGGGGCCAAGGGCCCGCUGACCCGGAGAACUCCACUGUCUACUUCCCCGACAAAAGAAUGGACACAGAUCGCGAGGAAGAAGGAGACCAAGGGGAAGCAAGUUGUUCUUUCCGUUCCUCUGCCCUCAAAGGAGAGCGGAAAGAAGGUCGCCACGACAGCAGCACCAUUCUAUCCUGACGUCCUCUUCAUCGGGAGAGUGGAGUCGCCUACCGUCUCCGACGACGAGCCGACCGCACCCGGAGAGGAACCACCUCAACGAGAAUCCCGCUGACGGAGAAACCGGCGCAAGAACGUUCGACGACAUCACGCAGCCGGAGAACGGGAUCCGGAGCAACCUAUCUCGCGAGACGAGGUCUCGGAGAUAGGGGAAACUCCAGAGGAACGCGUCUUCAGAGAACGAAGGAACUCCCGACGACGUGAUCGCCGCCGGGCUCAGGAACAAGCCGAGCAAGAUGCAAGGCAACGCCGGGAGAAUCCAUUCUUCGGACGCAACCUGAAUCCCGACUUCGCCCGAGCCAUGAACACACCGAGCGAAGUUGGAGGAGUACUAGCUCGGAUAGCUGAUGGACUCCCUCGGACUCCCGACGCCGAGGGCUACCGACGACUGUUCACCCAGGCGGCCAACCAUCUUCUACUGCUUGCUCACCCGCCGAACGAUCUACGACACGCCAUCAACAGUCGCUGAGACGCGCGAAGCUCCAUCAAUGCUUCGCGUGAACGACAGCAUGAGAACGAGAUCCGCCGCCGCGAGGAGUAUGACAGGGAUCAUGGCAUCCCAGCUCAGAGCCAGGCCACCAGAACUGAGUCGGCAACAGCCUCAACUGGCGGAACUACCCGGGGACGGUCGAGGAACCACAACAACUACUCCCCUCCCCGGGACAGACAUCAUCCCCGACGAUAGGAGGACACGUGUGGAGUGUCUGCUCUUACUCCGCGCCUUAGGGCCAUCCAAUGGCCUCCCAACUUCAAGGUAUCCAACGUCGACAAAUAUAAACCUAAGCAGGAUCUAGGGGGUUGGCUAGCUGUCUACACCACCGCUGCUCGAGCUGCCGGGGCGUCUGAAGACGUGAUGACUGCGUACUUACCCAUUGUCCUUGGGCAAGACGCGCUGCAAUGGCUGUGACAUCUACCCCGACACUGCAUCGACGACUGGGGCGACUUCAGUCGACGCUUCACCGCCAAUUUCCAGCCCCUCUCCGACAAACCGGCACAACCAUGGGACCUCAAAUCUAUCAAGCGUUGGGGGACGAAACUCUCCAGUCGUACCUCAAAAGGUUCCAGACCAUGAGAAAUCGUAUCCCCGAGGUCACGGAGGCGGCCGUGAUCGAGGACUUCUACAAAGGAUCCAACGACUCGGCCUUCGUCCGAGCCAUAUUACAGAAGGCGCCGACUACCUCCGAGGAGCUGUUCCGGGAAGCCGACCUCUACAUCACCGCCGACGAGCGAGCCCAGGACCUCAUCGGAGGAGCAAAGCCCGCACCGGCGGCACCACGACGCGACGCGAACCAGCAACCCGACAAACGCUAGGAGAAGAGGCCCCGCGAAGAAGUACACGCCACUGGGCCACCAGCUUCUCGCGCCCGAGGAGGACCUCGCGGAGGCGAGCGCACGCUGGACGACAUCCUCGACGCCCAGUGCCCGUACCACAAGGACAUGCGCCACACUCUUCGUAACUGCCGGGACUUCAAGCACUCCGUCGGGCACGGCCGGCCCUUCCAACCUCUACCUCCCCCUCCACCGAGGGGAGGACCAGAUGAACCACGACAGCCCCAUCAGCAGGAGGAGGGAGGAGGAGGAGCCUUCCCGCGCGUUGACAGGGAGGUCAACGUCAUCUUCGGCGGACAUGGGUCGCAGGAGAACAAAAGGCAACAAAAGCUCAACGACCGCCAGAUAUUGGUGGCGACCACCGGUCCUCCCGCCCCAUACCGGUGGUUGGAGCACCCGAUCACUUUCACUUGGGAGGAUCAAUGGCUCAACUUCGACCACCCAGGCAAAUACCCGCUCCUCGUCGAUCCGGUGAUCCGAGAGAGCCGGGUGAAGAAGGUGCUAGUGAAAGGGGGGAGCAGUAUCAACGUCACCUUCCCCCGGACACUCCAAGGCUUGGGAGUUCACCUCAAAGAGCUCCAUGAGUCGGACACUCCCUUCUUCGGCAUCGUGCCGACUGAAGGGGAAUACCCGCUAGGCCACAUCUACAUGCCUGUCACCUUCGGAACUCCAGAGAACUACAGAACCGAGUUCCUGAGGUUCGAAGUGGCGAACUUCGACUGCGGGUACAACGCCAUCAUCGGGAGGCCGGGAUUGGCCAAAUUCAUGGCCAUUCCGCAUUACUGAAAGGGAAUUAGGCUUACACCUAGUCCCUAAUUAAUUUUGGUGGUUGAAUUGCCCAACACAAACAAAUUGGACUAACUAGUUUGCCCAAGUGUAUAGAUUAUACAGGUGUAAAAGGUUCACACUCAGCCAAUAAAAAGACCAAGUUUUGGAUUCAACAAAGGAGCAAAGAGGCAACCAAAGGCCCUCUGGUCUGGGAGCACCGGACUGUCCGGUGUACCAGAGGACUCCAACUCGAACUCGCCACCUUCGGGAAUUUCCAGAGGCGACUCCGCUAUAAUUCACCGGACUGUCCGGUGUACACCGGACAGUGUCCGGUGCACCAAGGGAGGUCGGCCUCAGAAACUCGCCAGCUUCGGGAAACUCCAACGGCUAGUCCGCUAUAAUUCACCGGACUGUCCGGUGCGACUCCGGAGCAACGGCUAUCUCCGCGCCAACGGCUCUCUGCCGCGCAUUUAAUGCGCGCUCUGCGCGCGCAGGUGUCAGGCGCGCCCAUUCCGGCACACCGGACAAGGAACAGUAGAUGUCCGGUGUGCACCGGACACCCAGGCGGGCCCACAAGUCAGAAGCUCCAACGGUCAGAAUCCAACGGCAGUGAUGGCGUGGCAGGGGCACCGGACUGUCCGGUGUGCACCGGACUGUCCGGUGCGCCAUCGAAUAGACAGCCUCCCAACGGCCACAUUUGGUGGUUGGGGCUAUAAAUACCCCAACCACCCCACCAUUCAUUGCAUCCAAGUUUUCCACUUCCCAACUACUACAAGAGCUCUAACAUUCAAUUCUAGACACACCUAAGAGAUCAAAUCCUCUCCAAUUUCCACACAACGCCAUAGUGACUAGAGAGAGUGAUUUGCUUGUGUUCCUUCGAGCUCUUGCGCUUGGAUUGCUUUCUUCUUUCUUGAUCCGUUCUUUGCAAUCAAACACACUUGUAAUUGAGGCAAGAGACACCAAUCUUGUGGUGGUCCUUGUGGGAACUUUGUGUUCCAAGUGAUUGAGAAAAGAAAGCUCACUCGAUCUGUGGAUCGUUUGAGAGAGGGAAGGGUUGAAAGAGACCCGGCCUUUGUGGCCUCCUCAACGGGGAGUAGGUUUGCAAGAACCGAACCUCGGUAAAACAAAUCUCCGUGUCUCACUUGCUUAUUCGCUUGGGAUUUGUUUUUGCGCCCUCUCUCGCGGACUCAUUUCUUUAUUACUAACACUAACCCGUCUUGUAGUUGUGUUUAUAUUUGUAAAUUUCAGUUUCGCCCUAUUCACCCCCCCUCUAGGCGACUUUCAAUUGGUAUCAGAGCCCGGUGCUUCAUUAGAGCCUAACCGCUCGAAGUGAUGUCGGGAGAUCACGCCAAGAAGGAGAUGGAGACCGGCGAAAAGCCCACUACAAGCCAAGGGAGCACUUCAUCGGAAGAGUCCCGCACCAAAAGGAGGGAGAAGAAGAAGAGCUCCUCCAACAAAGGGAAGGAGAAGAAAUCUUCUUCUCACCACAAAGAGAAGAAAGAAAAAUCUUCUUCCCACAAGCCGCAUCGGAGUAAGGACAAGCAAAAGAGGAUGAGGAAAGUGGUCUACUACGAGACCGACACUUCAUCAACAUCAACCUCCGACUCCGAUGCGCCCUCCGUAACUUCUAAACGCCGAGAGCGUAAGAAGUUUAGUAAGAUCCCCCUACACUACCCUCGCAUCACUAAACAUGCACCUUUACUUUCCGUCCCAUUAGGCAAACCACCAACUUUUGAUGGUGAAGAUUAUGCUAGGUGGAGUGAUUUAAUGCAAUUUCAUCUAACCUCACUCCACAAAAGUAUAUGGGAUGUUAUUGAGUUUGGUGCACAGGUACCGUCCGUAGGGGACAAGGAUUAUGAUGAGGAUGAGGUGGCCCAAAUCGAGCACUUCAACUCUCAAGCGACAACGAUACUCCUCGCCACUUUAAGUAGAGAGAAGUAUAACAAAGUUCAAGGGUUGAAGAGCGCCAAAGAAGUUUGGGAUGUGCUCAAAACCGCGCACGAGGGAGACGAGCUUACAAAGAUCACCAAGCGGGAAACGAUCGAGGGGGAGCUCGGUCGGUUCCGGCUUCGCAAAGGGGAGGAGCCACAACACAUGUACAACCGGCUCAAGACCUUGGUGAACCAAGUACGCAACCUCGGGAGCGUAAAAUGGGACGACCACGAAAUGGUUAAGGUUAUUCUAAGAUCUCUUAUUUUCCUUAACCCUACUCAAGUUCAAUUAAUUCGUGGUAAUCCUAGAUAUACUAAAAUGACCCCCGAGGAAGUUAUCGGGAAUUUUGUAAGUUUUGAGUGCAUGAUCGAAGGCUCGAGGAAGAUCAACGAGCUUGAUGAUCCAUCCACAUCCGAAGCUCAACCCGUCGCAUUCAAGGCGACAGAGGAAAAGAAGGAGGAGGCUACACCAACUCGACAACCAAUAGACGCCUCCAAGCUCGACAAUGAGGAAAUGGCGCUCGUCAUCAAAAGCUUCCGCCAAAUCCUCAAGCAAAGGAGAGGGAAAGACUACAAGUCCCGCUCCAAGAAGGUUUGCUACAAAUGUGGUAAGCCCGGUCAUUUUAUUGCUAAAUGUCCUAUAACAAGUGACAGUGACCGAGGCGACGACAAGAAGGGGAGAAGAAAUGAGAAGAAGAGAUACUACAAGAAGAGGGGCGGCGAUGCCCAUGUUUGUCGGGAGUGGGAUUCCGACGAAAGCUCAAGCGACUCCUCCGACGACGAGGACGCCGCCAACAUCGCCGUCACUAAAGGGCUUCUCUUCCCCAACGUCGGCCACAAGUGUCUCAUGGCAAAGGACGGCAAAAGGAAGAAGGUAAAAUCAAGAUCCUCCACUAAAUAUGAAACCUCUAGUGAUGAAAAUGCUAGUGAUGAGGAGGAUAACUUGCAUACCCUUUUUGCCAAUCUUAACAUGGAACAAAAAGAAAAAUUAAAUGAAUUAAUUAGUGCUAUUCAUGAAAAGGAUGACCUUUUGGAUUCCCAAGAGGAUUGUCUAAUUAAAGAAAACAAGAAACAUGUUAAGGCUAAAAAUGCUUAUGCUCUAGAAGUAGAAAAAUGUGAAAAAUUAUCUAGUGAGCUAAGCACUUGCCGUGAGAUGAUUGACAACCUUAGACAUGAAAAUGCUAGUUUAAAUGCUAAGGUUGAUUCACAUGUUUGCAACGUUUCAAUUCCCAAUCCUAGAGAUAAUAAUGAUGAUCUGCUUGCUAGGAUUGAAGAAUUAAACAUGUCUCUUGCUAGCCUUAGAAAUGAAAAUGAAAACUUGCUUGCUAAGGCUAAAGAUUUUGAUGUUUGCGAAGUUACAAUUUCCGACCUUAGAAGUAAAAAUGAAAUAUUGCAUGCUAAGGUUGUAGAACUAAAAUCUUGCAAACCCUCUGCAUCUACCGUUGAGCACACUUCUAUUUGCACUAGAUGUAGAGAUGUUAACAUUGAUGCUAUUCAUGAUCAUAUGGCUUUAAUUAAACAACAAAAUGAUCAUAUAGCAAAAUUAGAUGCUAAAAUUGCCGAGCACAACUUAGAAAAUGAGAAAUUUAAAUUUGCUCGUAGCAUGCUUUAUAAUGGGAGACGCCCGGGCAUCAAGGAUGGCAUUGGCUUCCAAAGGGGAGACAAUGUCAAAAUUAGUGCCUCUCCUAAAAGAUUGUCCAACUUUGUUAAGGGCAAGGCUCCCAUGCCUCAGGAUAACGAGGGUUACAUUUUAUACCCUGCCGGUUAUUCUGAGAGCAAAAUUAGGAGAAUUCAUUCUAGGAAGUCUCACUCUGGCCCUAAUCAUGCAUUUAUGUAUAAGGGUGAGACAUCUAGCUCUAGGCAACCAACCCAUGCUAAGUUGCCUAGAAAGAAAACUACUAGUGCAUCAAAUGAUCAUAACAUUUCAUUUAAAACUUUUGAUGCAUCUUAUGUUUUGACUAACAAAUCCGGCAAAGUAGUUGCCAAAUAUGUUGGGGGCAAGCACAAGGGGUCAAAGACUUGUGUUUGGGUACCCAAAGUUCUUGUGUCUAAUGCCAAAGGACCCAAAACCAUUUGGGUACCUAAAGUCAAGAACUAAACUUGUUUUGUAGGUUUAUGCAUCCGGGGGCUCAAGUUGGAUACUCGACAGCGGGUGCACAAACCACAUGACAGGGGAGAAGAAGAUGUUCUCCUCCUACGAGAAAAACCAAGAUCCCCAAAGAGCGAUCACAUUCGGGGAUGGAAAUCAAGGUUUGGUCAAAGGUUUGGGUAAAAUUGCUAUAUCUCCUGACCAUUCCAUUUCCAAUGUUUUUCUUGUUAAUUCUUUAGAUUACAACUUGCUUUCUGUAUCUCAAUUAUGUCAAAUGGGCUACAACUGUCUAUUCACUGAUGUAGGUGUCACUGUCUUUAGAAGAAGUGAUGAUUCAAUAGCAUUUAAGGGUGUGUUAGAGGGUCAGCUAUACUUAGUAGAUUUUGAUAGAGCUGAACUCGACACAUGCUUAAUUGCUAAGACUAACAUGGGUUGGCUCUGGCAUCGCCGACUAGCCCAUGUUGGGAUGAAGAAUCUUCACAAGCUUCUAAAAGGAGAACACAUUUUAGGAUUAACAAAUGUUCAUUUUGAGAAAGACAGGAUUUGUAGCGCAUGCCAAGCAGGGAAGCAAGUUGGCACUCAUCAUCCGCAUAAGAACAUAAUGACGAUCGACAGGCCACUGGAGCUCCUACACAUGGAUCUAUUUGGCCCGAUCGCUUACAUAAGCAUCGGCGGGAGUAAGUACUGUCUAGUUAUUGUGGAUGAUUAUUCUCGCUUCACUUGGGUAUUCUUUUUACAGGAAAAAUCUCAAACCCAAGAGACCUUAAAGGGGUUCUUGAGACGGGCUCAAAAUGAGUUUGGCUUAAGGAUCAAGAAAAUAAGAAGCGACAACGGGACGGAGUUCAAAAACUCUCAAAUCGAAGGCUUCCUUGAGGAGGAGGGCAUCAAGCAUGAGUUCUCUUCUCCCUACACACCUCAACAAAAUGGUGUAGUGGAGAGGAAGAAUCGAACUCUAUUAGACAUGGCAAGGACCAUGCUUGAUGAGUACAAGACUUCGGAUCGGUUUUGGGCUGAGGCGGUCAACACCGCCUGCUACGCCAUCAACCGGUUAUAUCUACACCGAAUCCUCAAGAAGACAUCAUAUGAACUCCUAACCGGUAAAAAGCCCAACAUUUCAUAUUUUAGAGUCUUUGGUAGCAAAUGCUUUAUUCUUGUUAAAAGAGGUAGAAAAUCUAAAUUUGCUCCUAAGACUGCAGAAGGCUUUUUACUUGGUUAUGACUCAAACACAAGGGCAUAUAGGGUCUUUAACAAGUCCACUGGACUAGUUGAAGUCUCAUGUGACGUUGUGUUUGAUGAAACUAACGGCUCCCAAGUGGAGCAAGUUGAUCUUGAUGAGAUAGGUGAUGAAGAGGCUCCAUGCAUAGCGCUAAGGAACAUGUCCAUUGGAGAUGUAUGUCCUAAGGAGUCCGAAGAGCCUCCAAAUGCACAAGAUCAACCAUCCUCCUCAAUACAAGCAUCUCCACCAACUCAAAAUGAGGAUGAAGCUCAAGUUGAUGAAGUAGAAGAUCAAGCAAAUGAGCCACCUCAAGAUGAUGGCAUUGAUCAAGGGGGAGAUGCAAAUGAGGAAGACAAGGAGGAUGAGGAACAAAGACCGCCACACCCAAGAGUCCACCAAGCAAUCCAACGAGAUCACCCCGUCGACACCAUCCUCGGCGACAUUCAUAAGGGGGUAACUACUCGAUCUCGUGUUGCACAUUUUUGUGAACAUUACUCGUUUGUUUCCUCUAUUGAGCCACACAGGGUAGAGGAAGCACUCCAAGAUUCGGAUUGGGUGGUGGCGAUGCAAGAGGAGCUCAACAACUUCACUAGAAAUGAGGUAUGUCAUUUAGUUCCACGUCCUAACCAAAAUGUUGUAGGGACCAAAUGGGUCUUCCGCAACAAGCAAGAUGAGCAUGGUGUGGUGACAAGGAACAAAGUUCGACUUGUGGCCAAGGGAUACUCCCAAGUCGAAGGUUUGGAUUUCGGUGAAACCUAUGCACCCGUAGCUAGGCUUGAGUCAAUUCGCAUAUUAUUAGCCUAUGCUACUUACCAUGGCUUUAAGCUUUAUCAAAUGGACGUGAAAAGUGCCUUCCUUAAUGGACCAAUCAAGGAAGAGGUCUAUGUUGAGCAACCUCCCGGCUUUGAAGACAGUGAGUAUCCUAACCAUGUCUAUAAGCUCUCUAAGGCGCUUUAUGGGCUCAAGCAAGCCCCAAGAGCAUGGUAUGAAUGCCUUAGAGAUUUUCUUAUUACAAAUGGAUUCAAAGUCGGAAAGGCCGAUCCUACACUCUUUACUAAAACUCUUGAAAAUGACUUGUUUGUAUGCCAAAUUUAUGUUGAUGAUAUUAUAUUUGGGUCUACUAACGAGUCUACAUGUGAAGAGUUUAGUAGGAUCAUGACACAGAAAUUCGAGAUGUCAAUGAUGGGGGAGUUGAAGUAUUUUCUAGGAUUUCAAGUGAAGCAACUCCAAGAGGGCACCUUCAUUAGCCAAACAAAGUAUACACAAGACAUUCUCAACAAGUUUGGGAUGAAGGAUGCCAAACCCAUCAAGACACCCAUGGGAACUAAUGGGCAUCUCGACCUCGACACGGGAGGUAAGUCCGUGGAUCAAAAGGUAUACCGGUCGAUGAUAGGUUCAUUACUUUAUCUUUGUGCAUCUCGACCGGAUAUUAUGCUUUCCGUAUGCAUGUGUGCAAGAUUCCAAGCCGACCCUAAGGAAGCUCACCUUACGGCCGUGAAACGAAUCUUGAGAUAUUUAGCUUAUACUCCUAAGUUUGGGCUUUGGUAUCCUAGGGGAUCCACUUUUGAUUUAAUUGGUUAUUCGGAUGCCGAUUGGGCGGGGUGCAAAAUCAAUAGGAAGAGCACAUCGGGGACUUGCCAGUUCUUGGGAAGAUCCUUGGUGUCUUGGGCUUCAAAGAAGCAAAAUUCGGUCGCUCUUUCCACCGCCGAAGCCGAGUAUAUUGCUGCAGGCCAUUGUUGCGCGCAAUUACUUUGGAUGAGGCAAACCCUGCGGGACUACGGUUACAAAUUAACCAAAGUCCCUUUGCUAUGUGAUAAUGAGAGUGCAAUCAAAAUGGCCGACAAUCCCGUCGAGCAUAGCCGCACUAAACACAUAGCCAUUCGGUAUCACUUUUUAAGGGAUCACCAACAAAAGGGAGAUAUCGAGAUUUCUUACAUUAAUACUAAAGAUCAAUUAGCCGAUAUCUUUACCAAGCCUCUUGAUGAACAAUCUUUUAACAAACUUAGGCAUGAGCUCAAUAUUCUUGAUUCUAGGAAUUUCUUUUGUUAAAAUUGCACACAUUGCUCUUCUAUAUACCUUUGAUCAUGUCUCUCUCAUAUGCUAUGACUAAUGUGUUUUCAAGUCUAUUUCAAACCAAGUCAUAGGUGUAUUGAAAGGGAAUUGGAGUCUUCGGCGAAGACAAAGGCUUCCACUACGUAACUCAUCCUUCGCCGUUGAUCCAAGCAACUCUCCGUUCUAGGGGGAGAAAACAUGAGCACCAAGCAAAAGGACUUCGUCUUUGGUAUAAUCUUAACUCAUUUAUUUAUGACCAAAGGGGAAGGAAACACUUCGAGGGCUCUAAUGAUUCCGUUUUUGGCGAUUCAUGCCAAAAAGGGGGAGAAAUGAGCCCAAAGCAAAAGGACCGCACCACCACCAAUUUCAAAAACUUAAGUGUUGAAUGUUUUCAAUCGGUAUCCUAUUAUGUUCAAAAGGGGGAGAAAGUAGUAUUUCAAAAUGAUAUAUCAAAACCCUCUUGAACACUAAGAGGAGAAUCUCUUUUAGAGGGAGUUUUGUUUAGUCAAAGGAAAAGCAUUUGAAACAGGGGGAGAAAAUUUCAAAUCUUGAAAAUGCUUCUCAAAAUCUUAUUCAUUUGCCUUUGACUAUUUGCAAAAGAACUUUGAAAUGGAUUUACAAAAGAUUUUGCAAAAACAAAACAUGUGGUGCAAAAGUGGUCCAAAAUGUUAUAUAAGAAAGAAACAAUCCAUGCAUAUCUUGUAAGUAUUUAUAUUGGCUCAAAUUCUAAGCAACCUUCACACCUACAUUAUGCAAACUAGUUCAAUUAUGCACUUCUAUAUUUGCUUUGGUUUGUGUUGGCAUCAAUCACCAAAAAGGGGGAGAUUGAAAGGGAAUUAGGCUUACACCUAGUCCCUAAUUAAUUUUGGUGGUUGAAUUGCCCAACACAAACAAAUUGGACUAACUAGUUUGCCCAAGUGUAUAGAUUAUACAGGUGUAAAAGGUUCACACUCAGCCAAUAAAAAGACCAAGUUUUGGAUUCAACAAAGGAGCAAAGAGGCAACCAAAGGCCCUCUGGUCUGGGAGCACCGGACUGUCCGGUGUACACCGGACAGUGUCCGGUGCACCGCCGGACAGUGUCCGGUGCACCAGAGGACUCCAACUCGAACUCGCCACCUUCGAGAAUUUCCAGAGGCGACUCCGCUAUAAUUCACCGGACUGUCCGGUGUAGACCGGACAGUGUCCGGUGCGCCAAGGGAGGUCGGCCUCAGAAACUCGCCAGCUUCGGGAAACUCCAACGGCUAGUCCGCUAUAAUUCACCGGACUGUCCGGUGUACACCGGACUGUCCGGUGCGACUCCGGAGCAACGACUAUCUCCGCGCCAACGGCUCUCUGCCGCGCAUUUAAUGCGCGCUCUGCGCGCGCAGGUGUCAGGCGCGCCCAUUCCGGCACACCAGACAAGGAACAGUAGAUGUCCGGUGUGCACCGGACACCCAGGCGGGCCCACAAGUCAGAAGCUCCAACGGUCAGAAUCCAACGGCAGUGAUGACGUGGCAGGGGCACCGGACUGUCCGGUGUGCACCGGACUGUCCGGUGCGCCAUCGAACAGACAGCCUCCCAACGGCCACAUUUGGUGGUUGGGGCUAUAAAUACCCCAACCACCCCACCAUUCAUUGCAUCCAAGUUUUCCACUUCCCAACUACUACAAGAGCUCUAGCAUUCAAUUCUAGACACACCUAAGAGAUCAAAUCCUCUCCAAUUUCCACACAACGCCAUAGUGACUAGAGAGAGUGAUUUGCUUGUGUUCCUUCGAGCUCUUGCGCUUGGAUUGCUUUCUUCUUUCUUGAUCCGUUCUUUGCAAUCAAACACACUUGUAAUUGAGGCAAGAGACACCAAUCUUGUGGUGGUCCUUGUGGGAACUUUGUGUUCCAAGUGAUUGAGAAAAGAAAGCUCACUCGAUCCGUGGAUCGUUUGAGAGAGGGAAGGGUUGAAAGAGACCCGGCCUUUGUGGCCUCCUCAACGGGGAGUAGGUUUGCAAGAACCGAACCUCGGUAAAACAAAUCUCCGUGUCUCACUUGCUUAUUCGCUUGGGAUUUGUUUUUGCGCCCUCUCUCGCGGACUCAUUUCUUUAUUACUAACACUAACCCGGCUUGUAGUUGUGUUUAUAUUUGUAAAUUUCAGUUUCGCCCUAUUCACCCCCCCUCUAGGCGACUUUCAAUUACACGUACAUGAUACUGAAGAUGCCAGGACCGCAAGGAAUCAUAACUGUGCGUGCCGAUUUCCAAGGCGCCGCAGAGUGUUUCCGAGUGGCCAUCCAAGCAGCCCUCACCACCAAGCCGUCGACGGUUUCUUCAACACAGGCGAACUCUAAGCCUGAGGAGGACCUUGCAGUACCGGCAAACGAAGCUCAGGCCGCGACCUCUAUGCGACCGACUGAAGAAACUAAAAGGAUCAACCUGGGGUUCGCUGAUGAACGCAAGACUGCCAUCAUCAGCUCCAGCCUGGACGACAAAUAGGAAAGCGCGCUCAUCCAGUUUUUGCAAGAUAACCGAGACGUAUUCGCGUGGCAACCCGCGGAUAUGCCAGGAGUCCCAAGAGAACUGGCCGAGCACCAACUGAAGGUCUAUCCCCAAGCUAGGCCGAUCCGGCAAAAACUACGUCGUUUCACGCCCGACAAGAGAGAGGCCAUUCGCGCCGAGUUAGCCCGCUUGGUCGCGGCUGGAUUCAUUAGAGAAGUGUUACAUCCCGAGUGGUUAGCCAACCCUGUUCUUGUACUCAAAAAGAAUAAAGUGGAUUGGCGCAUGUGCGUCGACUAUACUGAUCUCAACAAACACUGUCCGAAGGAUCCCUUCGGGCUCCCGAGGAUAGAUCAGGUGGUGGACUCCACCGCUGGAUGUUCUGUGCUGUCUUUCCUGGAUUGCUAUUCCGGAUACCACCAGAUUAGUUUGGCAAAAGAAGACGAAGAAAAAACAACGUUCAUUACUCCGUUUGGUGCUUUUUGUUAUACCUCCAUGCCGUUCGGCCUCAAGAACGCUGGAGCGACUUAUCAGAGAGCCAUUCAAACAUGCUUAGCCGAUCACUGGGGCAAGCGUGUGGAGGCCUACGUAGAUGAUGUGGUAAUCAAAACAGAGAACUCGGAAAACUUCAUCGAAGACUUACAGCUGGUUUUCAACAGUCUGAGACGGUAUAGAUGGAAGCUUAAUCCCGAAAAAUAUGUUUUCGGGGUACCAGCAGGAAAGUUACUCGGUUUAUUGUCAGCCACCGGGGAAUUGAGGCUAAUCCAGAUAAGAUUGAAGCUAUCAUGAAGAUGGAAGCACCUCGAUCACAAAAGAAGGUUUAGCGACUUACCGGAUGUAUGGCAGCUCUGAGCAGAUUUAUAUCCAGGCUGGGGGAAAAAGGUUUACCAUUUUACAAGCUACUCAAGAAGGUGGAUAAGUUUCAGUGGACUUUAGAGGCACAAGAAGCUCUAGAUGCACUGAAGAAAUUCUUGACAACACCACCAGUACUGAAGCCACCACGACGAGCUACGUCAACUCAACCAGCUGAAGAUCUACUACUGUAUAUCUCUUGCACGACUCACGUGGUAAGCACCGCGUUGGUAGUUGAGCGAGCAGAAGAAGGACAUGCCUACCCAGUGCAACAUCCUGUUUACUUCAUCAGUGAAGUUCUGGGCCCCUCAAAGAAAAAGUAUCCUCAAGUUCAGAAGCUAUUAUAUGCAGUACUUCUAACUGCCCGCAAGCUACGCCACUACUUUGAUGACCACAAAGUCAUAGUAGUCACUGGUUUUCCGAUAGGGGAUAUUCUUCACAACAAGGAAGCCAUUGGCCGAAUAGCCAAGUGGGCUUGUGAGCUGGGAUCUCAUGACAUCGAGUUCCGACCUCGCACUGCCAUCAAAACUCAAGCACUGGUUGAUUUCGUAUCAGAGUGGACUGAACAGCAAGUACCAGAUAACCCAGAGACUACAGAAGUGUGGCGAAUGUAUUUUGAUGGCUCACUGAAGCUGCAGGGAGCAGGAGCAGGAAUUCUCUUCACCGCACCUGGAGGCGAGCACCUCAAAUAUGCCCUCCAGUUGCUGUUUCCGGCCUCCAACAAUGCAGCCAAGUAUGAAGCUCUGAUCCAUGGAUUGAACAUCGCCAUAUCAUUGGGCAUCAAGAGAUUGAUGGUGUACGGAGACUCUCUGGUAGUCAUUAGCCAGAUAAACAAAGAGUGGGAUUGUUCAAGCGAUUCAAUGGGAAAAUACUGCACUGCCGUCCGAAAGCUGGAAGAUAAAUUUGAGGGUCUGGAAUUUCAUCAUGUAGAAAGAGAUCGGAACACAGCAGCCGAUGUAUUGUCCAAGCUAGGAUCCAGUCCAACUCAGGUCCCACCUAGAGUCUUUGUGCAAGAAAUACUACAGCCGAGCAUCUCAAUGGAUCAAACAGAAGAGUGUAAUAUUAUAGAUCAACCCGAGUCAGACUCUGAUGACUGGAGAAGGCCAAUCAUCAAGUAUAUAAAGAAUGAAGAGGAACCAGAUGACAAGAAUUCAGCCGAGCGCAUUGCCAGACAGUCGGCUCACUACACACUCAUUGGGGAGACAUUAUACAGAAGGGGUGCAUCAGGCGUCCUCAUGAAGUGCAUUCUCCCAUCUACUGGGAAGCGACUUCUGGAGGAAGUCCAUGCUGGGCAAUGUGGAAUACAUCCAGCAUCCAGAACACUAGUCGGGAAGGUCUUCAGGUCAGGAUUUUAUUGGCCAACAACGAAGGGUGAUGCAGCCGAGUUAGUUCAGAGGUGCGAAGCUUGCCAAUACUUGUCAAAACAACAACAUCUACCAGCGCAGCAACUGCAGACCAUACCAGUAACUUGGCCUUUCACAUGCUGGGGACUGGAUAUGAUUGGACCUUUCAAGAAAGCUCAAGGAGGAUACACUCAUGUAUUGGAAGCAAUCGACAAAUUCACUAAAUGGAUAGAGUUCAAGCCCAUUGCCUCUUUGACCUCAGCUAAGGCCGUGGAAUUCAUACAAGGCAUAAUAUUCAGAUUCGGGAUACCAAACAGCAUCGUAACUGACCUAGGAUCCAACUUCACAAGUUCAGAGUUCUUCGACUUCUGCGAGCAAAAAAGCAUUCAGAUCAAAUAUGCUUCUGUAGCACACCCGAGAGCCAACGGGCAGGUUGAGCGAGCCAACGGGAUGAUACUGGAAGCACUCAGGAAAAAGGUCUUCGAUAAGAAUGAAAAGUUCGCGGGAAAAUGGAUAAGGGAAUUGCCCUAUGUCGUCUGGAGCCUAAGAACCCAACCUAGCCGAGCUCUGCAUGGAAACACUCCUUUCUUCAUGGUCUAUGGGUCGGAGGCAGUGUUACUCGCCGAUCUCAAGUUCGGGGCGCCAAGGUUGAUCUUCGAAAACAUAGCAGAAGUCGAGGCCACCAGGCUGGAGGACAUUGAUAUACUCGAAGAAGAACGGCUAAAUGCGGUAAUCCAAUCAGCAUGGUACCAGCAGACUCUAAGGCGCUAUCACGACAAGGCCGUGCGACAGCGAUCCUUCUCAGUAGGAGAUCUCGUCCUCGGCCGAAUUCUAACGGGGGAGGGACGACACAAGUUAUCGCCUUUAUGGGAAGGACCCUUCAUAGUAGCAGAAGUCACUCGGCCAGGAUCAUAUCGUCUCACUUAGAUGGACGGCACAGAGGUCGGGAACUCCUGGAACAUAGAACACCUCAGGAAGUUUUAUCCCUAGCUGAAUUUCAAAAGCUACCGGGACGACGAUGUACUCUGUAAAAUGGAAAUAUGUCAUCAAUAAAAAAGGGCUUCCAAGAUACUCAGUUUGUUCAUGAUUGACUUGCAUUCUUACUUAACUCGGGGUGACCACUAUGCCCUGCUAACGGAGCAAUCGGCUUAAGUCGGCAACGACUUAAGGCGGUGCAACAUGCUCGCGCUUACUUAACCCGGGGUGACCACUAUGCCCUGCUAACGGAGCAAUCGGCUUAAGUCGUCAACGACUUAAGGCGGUGCAACAUGCUCACGCUUACUUAACUCGGGGUGACCACUAUGCCCUGCUAACGGAGCAAUCGGCUUAAGUCGACAACGACUUAAGGCAGUGUAACAUGCUCGCGCUUACUUAACUCGGGGUGACCACUAUACCCUGCUAACGGAGCAAUCGGCUUAAGUCGGCAACGACUUAAGGCGGUGCAACAUGCUCACGCUUACUUAACUCGGGGUGACCACUAUGCCCUGCUAACAGAGCAAUCGGCUUUAGUCGGCAACGACUUAAGGUAGUGCAACAUGCUCAUGCUUACUUAACUCGGGGUGACCACUAUGCCCUGCUAACGGAGCAAUCGGCUAAAGUCAGCAGCGACUUAAGCCGGGGCAACAUGCUCACGCCUACACAAUUCAGGGUGACCACUACGCCCUAUUAACAGAAGCAAUCGACUUAAGUCAGCAGCGACUUAAGGCGAUCCGACGUGAUUACAAUUACUCAUAUAAGGAUGACUUCUAUAUCCCGCAAACAAAUUUCAAAACCAUCGCACGUCAUUUUACUACUACGAAUUUAUGAACUGACGAAUUCUGAAACAAUAUGAAAAUAACACUAUCGUCUAAGUACUGAAAUGACGUCCUCUAACAAAUGUUUGACCAUGCUAACCGCGCGCUCAAAGCACGCAAAAUGUCCCUCUAUUUUGUGAUAUCUUUCUCAGGAGCAAUCGAUGAGGAAGGACGACUCGAGGAAUCAGGGGCAGCAUUCACAUCAGCCCUUAUAUCUUCGGGAACAACCACGCCGGGUCUCCUCAUCAAGAUUCGCCCCGCUCGAAUAGCCUUGUCCAUGGCUCUAUCGCGCUGGGCUCUGAGAGUAACAGAAGUUUCUUCGGCAACCUUGGCAGCCAGCCGAGCAGUUUCUAACUCUUGGGCGAUAGAUUUCUUGGAAGCUCGGAGUUCUUUGAUAGUAGCGUCCUUCGCUGAUAUCAACUGCUUGAGCCGGGUCACUUCAUCCGUGGAUUCCUGCAGCUUACAGCGUUGGUUGUCUAACUCUUCCAUGGUGAAGCGAUGACUCCUCUCCAGGAUAGUCAACGAGUUGCUAGAAUCACGAUACAAUCUGUCAAGACUGUCGCGAGAAGCAGCAAGGAUACGUUUUUCUUCCUGCAAACAAAAGUCAACUCCCUCAAACACCAAGCAAGUAAUAGGAGCACAACAAGGCAAAGCACAGUCUCAUAAAUCACCUUUUCAGAAUUGAGCUGAGCAUGAAGAGAAGAACUCAGUGCAUUGGCGUCAUCUAAGGCAGCGGAGACCUGACCUAGUUCAGUCUGACUUUGAGAGUACUUUUCCUCAAAGUCAGUGCACCGCUGGACCAAUUCAGCCUGAUCUCGGGAAUGUUUUUCCUCAAGAGUGGAAAUCUGCCGAGUCAUACCUAGCAGGAGACAAUCAAACAAAAAGGGGUCAGAGUGUAAAGCAGUCCACAGUGAAGACAAAGAGAAGCAAAAAAGCACUAACCAGCGUUGGUCGCCUCCAAUUCAGAGACACGAUGUUGAAGUGACACUGGAUUCCAACAUGCAAGUGACGAAGCUACUUCUGGGACAGAAGCACCCUGUAACCUCAGCUGGCUAGCCAUCCCAUCCACCAAAGCCUGAUGAGGAGAACAGAUGAGUGUAAUGAUAGCAGUUUAUGCAAUGUAAAAACCAAGCUAAAAUACAUCACAGUACCUAGAGGUUGGAAAAGAACGAAGGGAUCCCCAAAUCAGGAGAGAUCAAUUGAUAACCGGGCGUAAGGCCACCACCCGAAGCAGCUUGCAACGAACCAGCAGGAAUCAACUCGGUGCCAUCAACAGAGCCCAACACUCGGUCAGCGGGGACGCUACCCUCUAAAGCGACUCCCUGGUCCAAGGCUUGGGCUACCACCAUACAGCCGGAGUGUGGAGGCGAUCCCGCAUGAACGUCCAUGGAAGUACAGGAGGGAGACCCCGCUCGGACACCCUCGGGGGCUGGGUCAUAGUUUGCACUGCCCACUUGAACCGGAUCAUCCCCGGCAGCACCCUCGGGGGCUGGGCAGUGGCUUACACUUCCCACCCGAACCAAGUCAUCCCCGGCGACAUCCUCGGGGGCUGGGCAUGUGUCAACACCACCCUAGGGGUCCAGGUUCUCUGCGGUAGCCACUUCUAAGGCUAAUGGGCCCUCAGUUACUUCCAUGGGACCAGGACGAUCCAAGUCAGUCUCCCGACCCUCGAGAUUGCGCUCUAAGGUCGACGAGGCACGGGAUGACCUCAACCCAGCAUUAAGCACAUCAGCACAAACCUCCAUCACACCAUCAUCUGCUGGCUCCGAUAACAAAUCCUCUGGAACCAUAUCCUCAAGAGUCUGAUCAAAAUUGGCAGGGACAGUUCUUGCAGGCCAAUGAGAGCAGACAAAGCAGGAGAGGGAACUCCACUACUUUCACCGCUAGCGAUGAACUGCCGACUGUUUUUCCGAGUCAAAGGAACUUCAUCUUCUUCCUCCUCGUCGUCCACAUUAGCAACACAGGCAGCACCCCCAUUGGGAUCAGCAGCAGAUGAAGCACUCACAUUGGGAUCAGCAACAGAUUGGGUACACCCAUUGGGGUCAGCGUCAGUAAAUUCAGUCACAGGCACUUCUUCAGCAGCAGGAACCGAGGUACCAACGUCCCGAUCCAAACUGGAUACUCGCUGGAGGCGUCUCCUUUUCUUUUUCUGCUCAUCAGCAGAAGGAUCAGGCUGAUUGGCUCGGCAAGGGCGCCUCAGGCGAGUACUGGCAGGCUUCUGAGUAUCCAAAGUUGUAUCAGCCUCUUGGAGGGGCGCCACUACCAAGCCCUAGCAGGAGCAGCGUCAGAAGAGUCCUCAGCCAGCAAAUCAAGCAUAGCGCUUAUCUCUGCAUCACUAGGGUUCAGGGGCACCUCAAAAUGGACCUACCGUUCAUCAUCAGGAAUCUCCCCGAGCGAGGCAACCAAGGCACUGACUUCUUCAGCAGAAGGCCGCACUCUAAGGCCCAAACUGCCAUCAGUGACAGGAGGAUUCGACACAAAAAGAGUGAAGGCUUUGGGAGGAGGCAAGUUCCAGGCUGAGAAUGCCACUGGGGCACCAACAUUUGACACUUUGUGUAACACUCAAAAUUGUUUACAAGGAAUAAAUAGUGAAUUCCCUACUGUAUGUGCCUUAAUUGCAUCAUGAAAAGAGCAUGCAUAUAAUUAAGAGUGAGACAAAUGAUUCAAAAAUAAAAUAAAGUACAUCUUGUUGGAGUUUUAUGUUUGUGCAUUAAAUAAAAAUAAUAACAAUAUAAAAAUGACUAGAAAUUGGAUUAAACCCUAAGUUGAAAAAUAGGGUUUUCUAAAAUGAGAAGAAGAGGAAUGAUACAAAAAUAUAAAUAAUGUUAUUAUACUUUUAAAAUUGGUAAUUUUUCAUUUCACAAUAUGAUUUGAGAAUAAAUUUGCACAAGGUUUGAAACUAAAUUCGAAUUCAAAUUGAUUUUUAGAAAUAAAGAAAAGAAAAUGGGAGAUGAAAAGAAAAGGAAAAGCAAAAUCCCACUGUUGGGCCCAAAACCCUCAAUUCGGCCCACCAUCUCUUUUGAUCCGCGCAGCCCACCACUCACUCUCGGCGCCGACAUGGUGGGCCCACAGGGCAGUCGCGCCAGCGCACACAGCAUUUCCCCUUUCACUGCGUCGCGGGGCCCACUGGUUAGCCUCUUCGCUCCUACCACUCCGUCGCUCGCUUACGUAUGGGUCCAGCUCGUCAGUUCCUUGGCGCGCGUCAGGAAAUGUUUGUCUCGCCGACUUGUGGGACCCUCGUGUCAGUUUCGCCUUCAUCCUAACGGACUGGCGCGGGUCUUACGCGGAUGGCGCCGGAGGAAUCGACGGCGCCGUUCUGACCGGCACGGCCCUCGGUGCAUAUAUACCGAGGCGCUCUGUCCAUCCGAGCUGUUAGAAAUCGCUACCCACGACCUAGUUUUCCCUGUGCGUUGUGUUUCCCAUCGCCGCCGUCGACACACGGUAGAACAGGGUGCCGCCGCCGCCAAAACCUCGCACCAUAUCGCCGCUCCCCCUGUUUUGUGCCCGGAGGAACUCGCGGAUUCGUGCGCAACCCCAUCACCGACUAAUUUGGACUUGUGGUUGGCUCGGGCCACCUCGAUUGCUCACCGGUGUCCCAGCUCCGCCUCGGAUCCGCUUAGCACCGACGACUGGCCGCAACACGGUCCCAAUUGCCGGUAACAACUUCCCCUAUGUCUCACCGUAGCUCUGCAUUCGUAUAGUUUACAUACAAUCGGACUAUGGGGCCCUGAAUUGCCGUAUCGGGUUACUCCGGCGAGGAGCGCCGCCGUAGCGCAUGCGGCAACCUCGCUGCCGUGGCGUGUGGUUGGGGAUGAGAGCCUAGCCGUCGAUUGAGCAAUCAAGGGUGCAGGUUAGAUCGGGGGGGGAUCAGGCCAGGGUAAAUGCGGAUCGUCCAAUCGCGAUCGGGCGAGUCGGGGCGAUCGCAGGGGAUUUUAAAUCCAAACCGUAGAUUUGUAAUCGAGCGGUGCCUACUGGAUACCGAUUCGUUUCGAAGCCAGUCUAAUCGUAGCCGUAGAACUUUAAUCCAACGACCGGGAUUGGCCCGUACCCCUUCGCGGGUACGUUUUACAAAAGAAACCCCGCCAAACUUUGAAACCAACCCGCCGUCCAGUGGAACUAUUCCCUGAGUCUGGGUUAUCUUGCGCAGAGACCCUUGAAGUUAUCAGGAAUCGAGGCCCAGUCCUGAGAUGAUUAAAAACAGAGAAUUAAUUAUAGAAAUUCGUUUUUAAUAAAAAAACAAAUAUAGAAACUUGUUUAAUUCAUAGAAAAUGCAUAUGAACUCCAAAUUGAUCCAUUCCAGUUCCAAAAUUUUUAUAAUAUUAUUUUCUAACCAUUAGUGUCUCUGUUUUGACAUGAAAGCAGUAAGAAAAUUAAUUUACCAUUUAAUCCUAUCUCAAGCACAUUAAAUCUUAGGAAAUUCAUAUCUUAAAAUCUAUAAUACCAAAAAUUAUGAUUUAUGUUCUUAGGAGUUUAUUUUAAUGUGUAGAUUUUUAUGGUGUAUUUUAUUCACAUGUUUGGUGCAAUGUUAAUUUUUGCUAUACUAUGUAUGUAUUGUGUUGAUGCGAGUAGACGAGCAAGCCACUGUGGAUUCUGAGGUUCAGCAAGUAGAAGUAGCUGAGCAGGAGCUCAUUGAAGGCAAGUUGUGCCCUUGAUCACUUACUUUUUCCCAGCCAUGUUCUUAUUAAUUAUAAUGAUCUGCAUAGGUUAAUUUUGAUGGGACCCAAUAGGUUACCCCAGUUUUGGCUAUCUUUAUACCUUGUUUUGCCACUAAAUAUUUUUGAGUAGUACUUGCUAUCGCUUAUUGUGGUUUUGGGUAUGAAGAUACACUAUUAAUUACUUCACUUUUAUUAUCUUUUUAUUAUUAAUGUUCAUGUUAAGAUCAUUAUGUUAAUGGGAACAUGGAGCGACCACCCGGAAAAACAGUGCUACCACAAGGGUAUAAUGGGACGCCCUUGGCUGAUUAACUAGGAAAGCUAGUGGAGGUCUUCCUUACCCGAAAGGGGCAAGGGCAGUAGGGGAGUGGUCAGUGUAGGGAGGUCCUUGGUUGAUUUUGCUGCGAUGGCGGUCAGGCAAGAACCCUGCAUUGGAGCUUCCUAUAAACUGUAGCGGGUUUUCUGAAGCUAGUGGAACUUUGUAAAGGCCUCGUAGUGUUACCCUGCCUCGCCUCCUCGGUAGAGGUGUAUGGGAUUGGCCAUCUCUUGGCAGAUGGGUAACAUGACUUGUGGGUAAAGAUGCACAACCUCUGCAGAGUGUAAAACUGGUAUACUAGCCGUGCUCACGGUCAUGAGCGGCUCUGACCCUCACAUGAUUAAAUUAUGGAACUUAAAUUCAAUUUUGUCAUUUGCAUAUGCAUGGGUUUAUUAUUAAUUUUGUUCUAUUAUUUUACUUAAGGUUUGGUAUUUACUUACACUUAGUAAUUGCUAAUAAAAUUUUGACCAACUACUUAAAAGCAAUGCUCAGCUUUAACCAUUCUCUUUGAUAAGCCUUACACUCCAUGAGCUCCCACCUUUGGUGAGUUCAUGUCACAUUAUUCCCCACGACUUGUUGAGCGAUGAACGUAUGUGAGCUCACUCUUGCUGUCUCACACCCCCCAACAGGAGAAGAGCAGGUGGUUCAGGAGGAGCCACAAGGCGAGGAGUAUGAUCUGAUCUAGGUGGCGUUUCUCAGUUGACAUUGGCGCCGACGAUCCUUAGUUCGUUUUAUAUUUACUCUUUUAUUUUGUAAUAAGUCUUCCGCUAUGUAAUAAAUACUCUGAUGUUCAUGACAUUUAUCUCUAUACACUCUGUUAUUAUAUAUGUUGUCUUCUUGGCGCAUGUAUGAGAUGCACCCGGCUUUGUUCCUUAAAACCGGGUGUUACAGAAGUGGUAUCAGAGGAAAUGUUGACUGUAGGACGAAACCUAGAUAGAAAUGGACAAAACCCUUACCUACUUACCUUAUUCUGAUUCAUUCUAUACUUACCUUACUCUGAUUCUUUCUAUACUUAACUUGAUCCUGUCUCACCUUCUACUGUUCUACUCUGAUUAUUCUUAUCUUUUCUACUUCAAGACAAGAUGGAUUUCGCACCUUGGAAUCCUACAACUAUGAACUUUUCCAGAGAUAGGGAACCUAAGAUAAAAUUAAAAUUAUUUUCUUUAUUAAAAAUGUUGGUUGAUUGUUCUGAUGAUCAAUGUCUGAUUUUCUUCUUUGAUUGAUUGAAAUAGUAUAGACGGGCAUCUUAGCAUGUACCACUAUAAGGUAAUGAAUUAGCUUUAGUAGGCGACACACUCAGCUAAUAAAUCCCCCAAAGUAACAUGCUUUGUAAUUACAUGCCUUGUCUACAAUCCUUUCUUUCGUACCCUGUGCUCCUAACCCAGAUGGGCUACCCCUAUAGUGUUAGAAGAGAGCCCUAUAGAUGUGAUCCUUGGUAUAUCAUGGUUAAGAAGGGCAAAGGCAAUUUAUACACUAUGCUAAAGGAACCAUAGAACUCACCAGUUCCAAAGGAGAAAGAUUUCAAGUUAAUAUUGCAAUAACCACCUCAUCCAAACGUACAAUGUUCUUCAUACCUGAGGAGUUUGUUGGUGACAACAUCCGUGUGGUUAGAGAUUUUCCGGAUGUCUUUCCAGAGGAGUUACCAGGAAGCCACCGGAUAGAGAAGUUGAGUUUGUCAUUGAUCUCUUACCUGAGACUGCUCCUAUUUCUAAACGGCUAUACAGGAUGUCCAUAGAAGAACUAAAGAAACUUAAGAAGCAAUUAACGGAAUUACAAGAGGUUGUGUACAUUCGUUCGAAUUCUUCACCUUGUGGAGCGCCGAUUCUAUUUGUACAGAAGGAAGAAGGAUCGCAAGGGAUGUGCGUGGAUUAUAGGUUCCUUAAUGGUGUCACUAUGAAGAACAAGUAUCCAUUACCCCGCAUUGAAGAUUUAUUUGAUCAGAUGAGAGGUGCAAGGGUAUUCUCGAAGAUUGAUCUCCGAUCGGGUUAUCACCAAAUGAAGAUUAGGCCAUCGGAUAUUCCCAAGACAACUUUCUCAACCCGAUAUGGAUUAUAUGAGUUCACCGUUAUGUCAUUUGGACUAACUAAUGCACCAGCUACCUUAUGGAUCUGAAGAAUAAGGUGUUUAUGGAGUAUUUGGACAGAUUCAUCGUAGUAUUUAUGGACGAUAUUCUUAUCUAUUCUAAGAGUGAAAGUGAUCAUGAGGAACACAUGAGAUUGGUGCUAUAGAAGCUACGAGAUAAUCAACUCUAUGUCAAGUUUAGCAAGUGCGAGUUUGGAUUGACAAGGUGCCAUUCCUUGGACAUAUUAUUUCUAAUGGAGGAAUAGCAGUGGAUCCUGCUAAAGUGAAGGAGAUAAUGGAAUGAAGCGUGCCCACUAUCAUCACUGAGAUUUGGAGUUUCUUGGGGCUUGCAGGAUAUUAUCAGAGAUUUAUUGAAGGAUUCUCGAAGAUUGCCAAGCCUAUGACCUCGCUUCUGGAGAAAGGAAGAGAAUUCAAGUGGGAUGAGUAAUGCCAAGAGAGUUUUGAUCAAUUGAAGGAAAGGUUGAUGUCGCCACCAGUAUUGAUUAUGCCAGACCUGCAUAAGGGAUUUGACAUUUACUGUGAUGCAUGUGGCCAAGGACUUGGAUGUGUGCUUAUGCAAGAAGGUCAUGUGAUCGCCUAUGCAUCUCGUCAGUUGCGGAAACAUGAAUUGAACUACCCACUCAUGACUUGGAAUUGGCUGCCGUUGUGCAUGCACUUAAGAUUUGGAGACACUACAUCAUGGGAACUAAGUGCCAAGUAUAUACGGAUCAUAAGAGCUUGAAGUACAUAUUCACUCAGAAGGAUCUCAACCUUAGGCAACGCCGUUGGUUGGAGCUUAUUAAGGAUUAUGAUUUGGAAAUUCAUUACCACCCAGGCAAGGCAAAUUUGGUUGCAGAUGCCUUGAGUCGUAAGGAGCAUGUUCACUCCGCUUUCGUCGUCCAGCUACCUGAUGAAUUAGCAAAAGAUUUUGAGAGGCUCAACCUGGGAAUUGUUACACAUACGGAAGGAGUGACUAUUGAAUUGGAACCUACCUUGGAGCAAGAAAUUCGUAAAGGUCAGAUUGGUGAUGCUAAGAUUCAGGAGAUCAAGGAUCUAAUAACAUAGGGUAGAGGCCCGGAGUUCACAGAGGAUGAGCAGGGCACCAUAUGGUUCAAGAAUCGGAUCUGUGUUCCCGAUAUUGAUAGUCUUCGGGAAACCAUAUUGAAGGAGGCACAUGACUCAGUUUAUUCUAUUCAUCCUGGAUGCACUAAGAUGUAUCAGGAUUUGAAGCAGAAAUAUUGAUGGUAUGGAUUGAAGAGAGAUAUGGCUACACAUGUGGCUAUGUGCGAGGUGUGUCAAAGAGUUAAGGCAGAACACCUAAGACUAACUAGACUACUACACCCAUUAAAGCUACCCGAGUGGAAGUAAGAAGAGAUUGGUAUGGAUUUCAUUAAUUGCCACGCACCUCGAAAGGAUAUGGUUCUAUAUGAGUUAUUAUGGAUAGACUGACCAAAGUGGCUCAUUUCAUUUUGGUCAAGACUACUUAUAAGGGAUCUCAAUUGGUAGAGUUAUAUGUGGCUCGGAUUGGGUCUCAACACGGUGUACCGAAGAAGAUUAUUUUGGAUAGAGGAUCAUAGUUUACCUCCAGAUUUUGGAAAAGCUUUGAUGAGAAUAUGGAUACGAAGUUGAAUUUUAGUUCGGCCUACCAUCCCUAGACUGAUGGGCAGACCGAAAGGACUAACCAAGUAUUAGAAGAUAUGUUGAGAGCUUGUGCCCUUCAAAAUGGUAGUAGUUGGGACAAGAGUCUACCUUAUGCUGAGUUCUCAUAUAAUAACAGUUACCAGUCCAGUCUAAAGAUGUCACCGUUCGAGGCUCUACAUGGCAGGAAAUGCAGGGCUCCUCUACAUUAGGACCAGACUGGAGGAAGACAAUUCUUUGGACAUGAACUUAUUCAAGAGGCAGAAGAACAAGUUCGAAUGAUAAGAGAAAAUUUGAGAAUUGCACAAUCAAGGCAGAAGAGCUAUGCUGAUACCCGGAGAAGACUACUGGAGUUUAAGGAGGGUGAUCACGUGUAUCUGAAGGUGUCACCGAUCCGGGGUAUGAGGAGAUUUAAAGUUAAAGGAAAGUUGUCCCCUCGCUUUAUUGGACCUUUCUUAAUCUUAAAGCGAGUGGGAGAGGUUGCAUAUCAAUUGGAGUUACUGGAUCAUCUUGCGGAUGUUCAUGAUGUUUUUCAUGUAUCUCAGCUGAAAAAAUGUCUCAGGGUACCUGAAGAACAAUUACCAAUGGAAGACCUUAAUGUUCAAGAUGACCUGACUUAUGCUGAGUACCCCAUUAAGAUUCUUGAUACACUGACUCGGGUUACGAGGAAUAAGGUUAUAAAGAUGUGCAAAGUUCAAUGGAGUCACCACGGUGAAGAUGAAGCAACUUGGGAAAGAGAAGAAGAGCUUCGCAUAGAUUUUCCCCAUCUUUUCACUAGUCAUUCCUAAAUCUCGAGGACAAGAUUAUUUUUAAGGGGGUAGGAUUUGUAACACUCAAAAUUGUUUACAAGGAAUAAAUAGUGAAUUCCCUACUGUAUGUGCCUUAAUUGCAUCAUGAAAAGAGCAUGCAUAUAAUUAAGAGUGAGACAAAUGAUUCAAAAAUAAAAUAAAGUACAUCUUGUUGGAGUUUUAUGUUUGUGCAUUAAAUAAAAAUAAUAACAAUAUAAAAAUGACUAGAAAUUGGAUUAAACCCUAAGUUGAAAAAAUAGGGUUUUCUAAAAUGAGAAGAAGAGGAAUGAUACAAAAAUAUAAAUAAUGUUAUUAUACUUUUAAAAUUGGUAAUUUUUCAUUUCACAAUAUGAUUUGAGAAUAAAUUUGCACAAGGUUUGAAACUAAAUUCGAAUUCAAAUUGAUUUUUAGAAAUAAAGAAAAGAAAAUGGGAGAUGAAAAGAAAAGGAAAAGCAAAAUCCCACUGUUGGGCCCAAAACCCUCAAUUCGGCCCACCAUCUCUUUUGAUCCGCGCAACCCACCACUCACUCUCGGCGCCGACAUGGUGGGCCCACAGGGCAGUCGCGCCAGUGCACACAGCAUUUCCCCUUUCACUGCGUCGCGGGGCCCACUGGUCAGCCUCUUCGCUCCUACCACUCAGUCGCUCGCUUACGUAUGGGUCCAGCUCGUCAGUUCCUUGGCGCGUGCCAGGAAAUGUUUGUCUCGCCGACUUGUGGGACCCUCGCGUCAGUUUCGCCUUCAUCCUAACGGACUGGCGCGGGUCUUACGCGGAUGGCGCCGGAGGAAUCGACGGCGCCGUUCUGACCGGCACGACCCUCGGUGCAUAUAUACCGAGGCGCUCUGUCCAUCCGAGCCGUUAGAAAUCGCUACCCACGACCUAGUUUUCCCUGUGCGUUGUGUUUCCCAUCGCCGCCGCCGACACACGGUAGAACAGGGUGCCGCCGCCGCCAAAACCUCGCACCAUAUCGCCGCUCCCCCUGUUUUGUGCCCGGAGGAACUCGCGGAUUCGUGCGCAACCCCAUCACCGACUAAUUUGGACUUGUGGUUGGCUCGGGCCACCUCGAUUGCUCACCGGUGUCCCAGCUCCGCCUCGGAUCCGCUUAGCACCGACGACUGGCCGCAACACGGUCCCAAUUGCCGGUAACAACUUCCCCUAUGUCUCACCGUAGCUCUGCAUUCGUAUAGUUUACAUACAAUCGGACUAUGGGGCCCUGAAUUGCCGUAUCGGGUUACUCCGGCGAGGAGCGCCGCCGUAGCGCGUGCGGCAACCUCGCUGCCGUGGCGUGUGGUUGGGGAUGAGAGCCUAGCCGUCGAUUGAGCAAUCAAGGGUGCAGGUUAGAUCGGGGGGGGGGAUCAGGCCAGGGUAAAUGCGGAUCGUCCGAUCGCGAUCGGGCGAGUCGGGGCGAUCGCAGGGGAUUUUAAAUCCAAACCGUAGAUUUGUAAUCGAGCGGUGCCUACUGGAUACCGAUUCGUUUCGAAGCCAGUCUAAUCGUAGCCGUAGAACUUUAAUCCAACGGCCGGGAUUGGCCCGUACCCCUUCGCGGGUACGUUUUACAAAAGAAACCCCGCCAAACUUUGAAACCAACCCGCCGUCCAGUGGAACUAUUCCCUGAGUCUGGGUUAUCUUACGCAGAGACCCUUGAAGUUAUCAGGAAUCGAGGCCCAGUCCUGAGAUGAUUAAAAACAGAGAAUUAAUUAUAGAAAUUCGUUUUUAAUAAAAAAACAAAUAUAGAAACUUGUUUAAUUCAUAGAAAAUGCAUAUGAACUCCAAAUUGAUCCAUUCCAGUUCCAAAAUUUUUAUAAUAUUAUUUUCUAACCAUUAGUGUCUCUGUUUUGACAUGAAAGCAGUAAGAAAAUUAAUUUAUCAUUUAAUCCUAUCUCAAGCACAUUAAAUCUUAGGAAAUUCAUAUCUUAAAAUCUAUAAUACCAAAAAUUAUGAUUUCUGUUCUUAGGAGUUUAUUUUAAUGUGUAGAUUUUUAUGGUGUAUUUUAUUCACAUGUUUGGUGCAAUGUUAAUUUUUGCUAUACUAUGUAUGUAUUGUGUUGAUGCGAGUAGACGAGCAAGCCACUGUGGAUUCUGAGGUUCAGCAAGUAGAAGUAGCUGAGUAGGAGCUCAUUGAAGGCAAGUUGUGCCCUUGAUCACUUACUUUUUCUCAGCCAUGUUCUUAUUAAUUAUAAUGAUCUGCAUAGGUUAAUUUUGAUGGGACCCAAUAGGUUACCCCAGUUUUGGCUAUCUUUAUACCUUGUUUUGCCACUAAAUAUUUUUGGGUAGUACUUGCUAUCGCUUAUUGUGGUUUUGGGUAUGAAGAUACACUAUUAAUUACUUCACUUUUAUUAUCUUUUUAUUAUUAAUGUUCAUGUUAAGAUCAUUAUGUUAAUGGGAACAUGGAGCGACCACCCGGGAAAACAGUGCUACAACAAGGGUAUAAUGGGACGCCCUUGGCUGAUUAACUAGGAAAGCUAGUGGAGGUCUUCCUUACCCGAAAGGGGCAAGGGCAGUAGGGGAGUGGUCAGUGUAGGGAGGUCCUUGGUUGAUUUUGCUGCGAUGGCGGUCAGGCAAGAACCCUGCAUUGGAGCUUCCUAUAAACUGUAGCGGGUUUUCUGAAGCUAGUGGAACUUUGUAAAGGCCUCGUAGUGUUACCCUGCCUCGCCUCCUCGGUAGAGGUGUAUGGGAUUGGCCAUCUCUUGGCAGAUGGGUAACAUGACUUGUGGGUAAAGAUGCGCAACCUCUGCAGAGUGUAAAGCUGGUAUACUAGCCGUGCUCACGGUCAUGAGCGGCUCGGACCCUCACAUGAUUAAAUUAUGGAACUUAAAUUCAAUUUUGUCAUUUGCAUAUGCAUGGGUUUAUUAUUAAUUUUGUUCUAUUAUUUUACUUAAGGUUUGGUAUUUACUUACACUUAGUAAUUGCUAAUAAAAUUUUGACCAACUACUUAAAAGCAAUGCUCAGCUUUAACCAUUCUCUUUGAUAAGCCUUACACUCCAUGAGCUCCCACCUUUGGUGAGUUCAUGUCACAUUAUUCCCCACGACUUGUUGAGCGAUGAACGUAUGUGAGCUCACUCUUGCUGUCUCACACCCCCCAACAGGAGAAGAGCAGGUGGUUCAGGAGGAGCCACAAGGCGAGGAGUAUGAUCCGAUCUAGGUGGCGUUUCUCAGUUGACAUUGGCGCCGACGAUCCUUAGUUCGUUUUAUAUUUACUCUUUUAUUUUGUAAUAAGUCUUCCGCUAUUGAAUAAAUACUUUGAUGUUCAUGACAUUUAUCUCUAUACACUCUGUUAUU